rnacentral:misc_RNA from 1 species
UUAAGUUCAGCGGGUAUUCCUACCUGAUCCGAGGUCAAUCUUUGGAAAUAUCUCUCAAUCCUAGGCAUAGGAGCGAGAGAUUUUGGGAAAGCACCAACCGACCUAGAGCGAGAUUAUAAGAGUCACUGCGCUAAAGAUUUCGGCUGCUUCUUCCACCUAAGUUUAAGGUGCCCACUGCUGCGGACUACCCAAUACCCAGC